rnacentral:rRNA from 1 species
UACGGAGGGUGCUAGCGUUGUUCGGAAUCACUGGGCGUAAAGCGCGUGUAGGCGGCCUCCCAAGUCUGAUGUGAAAGCCCGGGGCUCACCCCCGGAAGUGCACUGGAAACUGUGAGGCUCGAGUCCCGGAGAGGAGAGUGGAAUUCCUGGUGUAGCGGUGAAAUGCGUAGAUAUCAGGAGGAACACCGGUGGCGAAGGCGGCUCUCUGGACGGUGACUGACGCUGAGACGCGAAGGCGUGGGGAGCAAACAGG